GAUGAACGCUGGCGGCGUGCCUAAUACAUGCAAGUCGAGCGAACGGACGAGAAGCUUGCUUCUCUGAUGUUAGCGGCGGACGGGUGAGUAACACGUGGAUAACCUACCUAUAAGACUGAGAUAACUUCGGGAAACCGUAGCUAAUACCGGAUAAUAUUUUGAACCGCAUGGUUCAAAAGUGAAAGACGGUCUUGCUGUCACUUAUAGAUGGAUCCGCGCUGCAUUAGCUAGUUGGUAAGGUAACGGCUUACCAAGGCAACGAUGCAUAGCCGACCUGAGAGGGUGAUCGGCCACACUGGAACUGAGACACGGUCCAGACUCCUACGGGAGGCAGCAGUAGGGAAUCUUCCGCAAUGGGCGAAAGCCUGACGGAGCAACGCCGCGUGAGUGAUGAAGGUCUUCGGAUCGUAAAACUCUGUUAUUAGGGAAGAACAUAUGUGUAAGUAACUGUGCACAUCUUGACGGUACCUAAUCAGAAAGCCACGGCUAACUACGU
rnacentral:rRNA from 1 species